rnacentral:rRNA from 1 species
GGGACUCGAGUGCGAGCUCGCGGCUCACCUCCCACCCUUGUCUCUCUACACCUGUUGCUUUGGCGGGCCCACCGGGGCCACCUGGUCGCCGGGGGACGAACGUCCCCGGGCCCGCGCCCGCCGAAGCGCCCUGUGAACCCUGAUGAAGAUGGGCUGUCUGAGUACGAUGAAAAUUGUCAAAACUUUCAACAAUGGAUCUCUUGGUUCCGGCAUCGAUGAAGAACGCAGCGAAAUGCGAUAAGUAAUGUGAAUUGCAGAAUUCCGUGAAUCAUCGAAUCUUUGAACGCACAUUGCGCCCCCUGGCAUUCCGGGGGGCAUGCCUGUCCGAGCGUCAUUUCUGCCCUCAAGCACGGCUUGUGUGUUGGGUGUGGUCCCCCCGGGGACCUGCCCGAAAGGCAGCGGCGACGUCCGUCUGGUCCUCGAGCGUAUGGGGCUUUGUCACUCGCUCGGGAAGGACCUGCGGGGGUUGGUCACCACCAUAUUUUUACCACGGUUGACCUCGGAUCAGGUAGGAGUUACCCGCUGAACUUAAGCAUAUCAUAA